AACCGGAGGCGACGCAUCACCGCCUACACCUCCACGACUUGCUCCUCCGGCGGGGGCAACGGCGACCGGGGUCAUCAUCCUCCCUCUUCCCGGAUCUCGUCUCUGCCCAGAGAUCGAAGGACCUUCUCUGUUGUCUGAAAUUUGUACCCAAGUGAGCAGCUGUACUGAAGAACAUCGAACAUUUUGCAGUGCAUCUAACUAACCUGACCUCACAAGUGCUGAUUUGUAGGUCUGCUCUGAAAUUAGAAAUUGGCUUUAUCUGAAGACUUUGUGUAAAAUUGCUUGGUGCCUUUCGAAAGAUUUCACUCAGAGCAAGAAAGGUAUGUGACAUAGUCAUCCUUUUGACAUGGUCAUUGAGGAAGCUUAAAUUAUGCAAAACUACUGCUCUUGUGAUGUUAUUUUUCUGUGCCUAGUAAUGAAAGCGUUCUUAUUUUAGUAUAUGAGAAAAUUGUUGCUCUUAAUUAUGUAUGUAGAUGUCACAAUAGAAGUGGUAUUAUCUCUGUAUUCACUCCUGAGCUUUCUUUGCAGCAUAGAGAUGGUAUUAUUAGUGCUUUAUUUAUAAUUAUUAUUGUUGUAUUAAUUUUGUUUUCAUUGGGUAUAAUAGUGAUGGAUUCUAGGAGAAAUAAAAUUAGAUUAUCUUGCAAGAACAAGAAGAAGACGAUGAACUAUUUUUCCUUUUGGUUCCCGCUUUAUAUGCUUGCCUUUAUGAGGAAAAGCAUACAGUUGAC